rnacentral:rRNA from 1 species
GAGUGGGAUCACAGCUCAUGGACGCAAACGGGCCGGGCGCACGCACGCACGCUCCAGCUCCGCUCGCUGACGCCACACGUCACGCCGGACGCCGGACGGGAGGAAUAACGAACCUUGGACCAUAUAAGCACACCCCCGCUCCGUCCAUCCGACUCGAUCCCCAUGAUAGAUUCUGCUCUGGUUCUGAUCCAGUGUGUGUGUGAGCUUCUCCCUUCUUCUGAUCGUGUGUGUGAGAGAGAGAGAGCGAGCUUGAUUGGUUGACGUGCACAUCGACCGGGUGGUCGAUCGAUCAUGGCGAUGGCGCAGGGGCAGGGGGCGGCGACGUCGCUGCCGGCGGGGUUCCGGUUCCACCCGACGGACGAGGAGCUCAUCCUGCACUACCUCCGCAACCGCGCCGCCGCCGCGCCGUGCCCCGUCCCCAUCAUCGCCGACGUCGACAUCUACAAGUUCGAUCCAUGGGACCUCCCCUCCCAGGCGGUGUACGGCGACUGUGAGUGGUACUUCUUCAGCCCGCGGGACCGUAAGUACCCCAACGGCAUCCGCCCCAACCGCGCCGCCGGGUCCGGCUACUGGAAGGCCACCGGCACCGACAAACCCAUCCACGACGCCGCCACCGGCCAGGGCGUCGGCCGUCAAGAAGGCGCUCGUCUUCUACACGGGCCGCCCGCCCAAGGGCACCAAGACGGCCUGGAUCAUGCACGAGUACCGCCUCGCCGCCGACCCCCUCGCCGCCGCCGUCAACACCUACAAGCCCAUCAAGUUCCGCAACGUCUCCAUGAGGCUGGAUGACUGGGUGCUGUGCCGGAUUUACAAGAAGACAGGCCUCGCGUCGCCGAUGGUGCCGCCGCUCGCCGACUACGACCACAUGGCCGACCACGACGACCUCUCCAGCGGCGGCGCCUUCACCAACGCCACCUGCAGACCCAUGAUAAGGCAGCAGCACCACCAGCAGUCUCUCGCCGGGAGGCUCCCGACGUUCCCGUCCUUCUCCGAGCUGUUCGACGACUACCAGUUCGCGCAGAUCUUGGACAUCGACGUCGAGCACGGCGCCACCCACCACCUCGCCGUCCAUCCCGCCCUGAACCAGCUCCUCCCCGUCGGCGACAGCAGGCACGUAGUGGAGCCGUCGUACUACGCGCCGUCGUCCUCGUCGCCGGACGCCAGCGGCGGGAGCUCGGGGAAACGCAAGGCGGCGAGCCCGGAAGAACGCGCCACGCACCAGCCGCCGGCCAAGAAGCUCAACGGGUCGUGCUUCGACGCGCCGCCGCAGUCGGCGAAUGGCUGGCAGGCCGUGGCGUCCGUGCUGGGCGGCCUCAACGAUCACAUGCUUCCUCAGUUCUAAGCUGCUCUUCACGGCCCUUCUUCUGGAUCUUCAGCAUAUACGACCUGGUUGUAUGCUUCAUCUCAGUAAACCCCAUCGAUCAGAUGACACGUGGCUUUGCAAAUCUCAAAGCAACCAAGGCCCCCAGACUUAUAUUCUCCAUC